GACGAACGCUGGCGGCGUGCUUAACACAUGCAAGUCGAACGGAAAGGCCCUGCUUUUGUGGUGUUCUCGAGUGGCGAGCGGGUGUGAAACACGUGUGAAACCCGCCCGUGUCUGGGGUAUAACUUGGGGAAACUGGGUCUUAUACGGGAUAGGAUCUCCUGCUGCGGGGGGGGGUGUGAAGAGUUGGGGCGGUGGGGGAUGGACUCGCGGCUUAUCCGCUUGUUGGUGGGAUAGUGUCUUACCAAGGCUUUGACGGUUAGCGGGCCUGAGAGGGUGACGGGCAACAUGGGGACUGAGAUACGGCCAAGCCUCCUACGGGAGGCAGCAGUGGGAAAUAUUGAACAAUGGGGGGAAGCCUGAGGAAGAACCGCCGCGUGCGGGAUGAGGGCCUUCGGGUGGAAACCCGCUUUGGCCUGUGACGAAGUGUGAGUGACGGUAAUGGGUAAAGAAGCACCGGCUAACUACGUG
rnacentral:rRNA from 1 species